rnacentral:rRNA from 1 species
GACGAACGCUGGCGGCGUGCCUAAUACAUGCAAGUUGAGCGCUGGAGCUUGGUGCUUGUUCCUACUGGGUGAGCAGCGGACGGGUGAGUAACGCGUGGGGAAUCUGCCUUUAAGCGGGGGACAACAUUUGGAAACGAAUGCUAAUACCGCAUAAAAACUUUAAACACAAGUUUUAAGUUUGAAAGAUGCACUUGCAUCACUCAAAGAUGAUCCCGCGUUGUAUUAGCUAGUUGGUAAGGUAAAGGCUCACAAAGGCAAUGAUACAUAGCCGCCCUGAGAGGGUGUUCGCCACAUUGGGACUGGGACAAGGCCCAAACCUCCAAGGGAGGGAGCAGGAGGGGAUCUUUGGGAAUUGAGGAAAGGCCGAACGAGCAACGCCGGGGUAGUGAAGAAGGGUUUCGGGUCGGAAAACUCUUUUGGUAGGGAAGAAAGUUGGUGGGAGUGGAAAGCGCAUAAAGUGACGGUAACUAACCAGAAAGGGACGGCUAACUACGUG